rnacentral:rRNA from 1 species
UCCGCUUGAGAAGAGAACAAGGCUGAGGCCAAACAGCAAAAAGCCAGUGAUAUCGAAUCUGCGUCGUGCGGUGGUGAAAUUGGGCAUAUGUUUGCGCGCGUAAAGAAGGCCCGCAAUACCUAUGGGGAUAUUGAUUAAAAAUAUCCAGUGCCAGGUUGCCCAGGUGACCAGCACGCCGCCAAGAACGGGGCCUAAAAUUGGCCCCACCAGACCCGGCAUGGCGACAAAAUUCAAUACUGGAAGAAGUUCAUUACGAGGAUAAGCGCGCAGUAAGGCCAGCCGAGCAACAGGCAUCAUCAUUGCGCCGCCUAUCCCCUGAAUAACCCGGAAGACAACCAGCUGUGGUAGCGAAUUAGAAAGUGCGCAGGCCAGAGAACCCAAUGUGAACAGACUCACGGCAAGGGUAAAAAUGCGACGCGUACCGAAGCGAUCGGCUAGCCAUCCGCUUACCGGAAUAAGCAUCGCCACCGUCAGCGUAUAACUGAUGAUGGCUGAUUGCAUCGCGAGAGGAGAACGAUUAAGGCUAUGAGCGAUUGCGGGUAAGGCGGUAUUCAGAAUAGUGGCAUCAAGUGCCUGCAUGAAGAAGGCCAUCGCCGCGAUCCACGGCAAACCCGGCAUACUGCGCUUCUUUUUAUCGCUCAUUCAAUGUCCUGUUAUCGGGUUGUCACUUAUCAGGUGAGCGUAGCAGCGCCUGACAAGCUUUAAAUGCCGCGUCGCCAUCGCUUUGGACAAUCGCAUCGACAAUCGCCUGGUGCAGAUCCAGCUUUAUCACUGUGUCGCUGGUAAUUGACGUGAAGUAAGUGUGAUAAACCGAAUGGAAUAGCGAGGCGAAUGAGGUCAAAAACGGAUUGGCGCUCAUUUCAUAGAUAUGCUCAUGCCAGGCCAUAUCGACUUCGAUCCAGCGUUCACGGCGAAAGUUCUCUUUUAAUGCCGCCAUUUCGGCCAUUAACGUAUUGAGAUGCGCCUUCUGUUCCGCGGUGCCAACCGUUGCAGCCAGUAGGCAAGCUUGCGGCUCCAGACAGAUACGCAUAACCAGAAAGUGAUCGAUGACCUGAUGAAAGUUCUCUUCUGUCAUCCACCAGGUAAGCAAUUCCUGAUCAAGAAAAUUCCAGUUUGAUUGUGGCAUGACCCGGGUACCAAUUCGCGGUCGCGGUAAAACCAUCCCUUUUGCCGUUAACGUUUUGACCGCUUCGCGUACCGCUGUACGACUCACUCCAAAUUGCUCGCCCAGCUCAAUCUCACCAGGCAAAAUGGUGCCGGGUUCAUAUUCACCUUUUAAGAUGCGUUGCGCCAGCUUCUCAGCCAGAACAUACGAAAGGUUUUUCUGUGCAGCUAACUGUUGUGCGCUUAAAGGCAUUACUAAUCUUCCUUUUUCUUUUUAUUCCUCCUUAGUAUGCCACCAGGAAGUGUGAUUACGGUUGCAAAAACGGCAAAUUGCUUGUUUUAUGGCACAUUAACGGGGCUUUUGCUGAAAAAAUGCGCGGUCAGAAAAUUAUUUUAAAUUUCCUCUUGUCAGGCCGGAAUAACUCCCUAUAAUGCGCCACCACUGACACGGAACAACGGCAAACACGCCGCCGGGUCAGCGGGGUUCUCCUGAGAAUUCCGACAGAGAAAGCAAAAAUAAAUGCUUGACUCUGUAGCGGGAAAGCGUAUUAUGCACACCCCGCGCCGCUGAGAAAAAGCGAAGCGGCACUGCUCUUUAAUAAUUUAUCAGACAAUCUGUGUGGGCACUCGAAGAUACGGAUUCUUAACGUCGCAAGACGAAAAAUGAAUACCAAGUCUCAAGAGUGAACACGUAAUUCAUUACGAAG